UACAGAGGGUGCAAGCGUUAAUCGGAAUUACUGGGCGUAAAGGGCGCGUAGGCGGAUAGUUAAGUGAGAUGUGAAAUCCCUGGGCUUAACCUAGGAACUGCAUCUGAAACUGGCUGUCUGGAGUGCGGUAGAGGGUAGUGGAAUUUCCGGUGUAGCGGUGAAAUGCGUAGAGAUCCGGAGGAACACCAAAGGCGAAGGCAGUGUCCUGGGGAGUACCUGACGCUCAGGUGCGAAAGCCAGGGGAGCGAACGGG
rnacentral:rRNA from 1 species